UAAAAAGUUAUUCAGAUAAGAAUGAAAUGAAAAAUAACGAUUUAGAAUAGCAGCCCAGGUUUGAGCAUGUCAGGUGGGGUUACUAUGUGCCAAGGUGUUUUUCAGUAAUUUUCAUUCUUUUACUAAGAAUUUUUUGCUUGUUUUUGUUCUUGGUAGAGCUAGGAAAGAAAGAAAGCAUAGAUUUUGAUUAAUUAUAGGUUUUAGUAGGAAAACGUUAAAUCUAAAUGCAGCACUUCAGAGGUUAGAGGUAGCUUCUGUAAGACCAGAGCUAAGCUCUGUGGCUUCCAGCGAGAGCUGCACACGGGGCUCAGAAGCCUCCGUCAUCAGCCACACGGACAAAAGGAGAUACCACGGAAGGAAGUGAAGGCACCGUGUUGCACAGACACAGAACUAGAUGUGGGACCCGCCCAGGCUUCCUGUGUACGGCAGCAGGACUUGGUGCUUCCAGUUCCCAUAAUGAAGGCGGAGGAAAGGACUGCCGUGUUCCGGGGUGACGGGUGCAGGAGCCCCUUUGGAGAGGACUACCCAGCAGCUCCCCAUGAGGGAGAGGGCCUGCGCUGCUGCUGGACACAGCAGGAUAAGGGUCUUCUGCUUGGAAUUGCAAUGAUGCGCCGUGGCAUGCUCCCUCAGGAAUGGCUGCAAGCCACAGCACAGCACCACUUGUGAGCAUAUGGGGGACGUGGGGGACGCGUGGCCAAGCUGAUAUGUGCUGCUCUGAGUCUCCAGCUGCCCUUUGUUUGGCCAUGUUUAGGUUGGUUUUGUUGAGAAUCACAGGAACAGAGGAUGAUCCCUUACGUGCCUCUGAAUCUAGAAUAGAAAUCUGCUGGCUGUAGUUUCUUUUUGUAAGCCGACAGAACCAGUGGAGAUUGUGUGUGUGUGUGUGUGUGUGUGUGUGUGUGUGUGUACAGGUACACAUGCACACAAGGACAGAGAUUAUUGCCCAGGGAAGACCUGGUGUUGCCACUCCAGUCUGGGGGGAAAUUGCGUCUCCCUGUGAGACCACAUUUUCUUAUGACCUUCAACUGACUAGAUGAGGCCCACCUACAUUGCUGAUGUACAUGUCCUUCUAGAAGAGUGCCUUCACAGAAAAACUUACAGUAAUGGUUGAGCACAUACCCAAGUACUGUGGCCCAGCCACCUUGACAGAGUUAGCUAAACCAUGACAUUGGUGCAGAUGCUGUAUUGCCCUCAUUUUGAUAGCGACUGCAGAGUGUUGAUGUGGAUCACUGAAAUGCUGCGUGGGACUGCAUUCCUUCCUCACUGGGGUUUGGGAGCAAGCCUCUGCCUUUGUGUGCAGAAAGCCUGACCCUGUAUACAGUGCAUCACUGGGAUCUCUGCCUAAAUGUCACAAGAAGUAGGUGAUGGACUGAUGGAGAAGAAAUGCCAUGCUAGCAGGAUUGCUCCCCGUCCACCCCACAUGGGGCCCAUCAGCCCUGCACGGAACCUCGGAACCUCAGGACCCCUUCUCCAGCCCAGCGUGAGACGGUUUUCUCCUAGGCCGGCGCCUCUGGCUGAGGUGAAGCCUGCAGCAGCUGACGCGGUCUCCUCAGGCAGCCGUGCUCUGCUGGCACCUGUUCCGUCUCACAGAACUCUGGGCUUGCCAGACUCUUCUACUGGAAAUACAUACCUCUGUAGCUUUAAAUGUUACAGCCUCCAAUAAAUGGUUUUCCUUUUCAACGUU